rnacentral:lncRNA from 1 species
AAAAGUGUUUAUAGUUUUUAUUCCAUCCAUGCAAAGUGAAGGGGUGAACAAGUACGGGUAUUUGACCCAAAUGCCACAAUGUUGAAAUAGAAGUCCCAAAAUGCCACCCCCAAAAAAAUUCUCAGAAUGCCAUUUUUUUGGUCAUUUAGUGAGAUUUUUUAAUAUUUUAUUUGCACCCUCCAUCUUGAAUGACGGAUGCGUCAGAAACCCAAUUGGGAUCCGACAUCUCAGAUGGAGUCCCCCUUUUUUUUCGCUUUUAAUUUUUUUAUUUAUUUUUG